GCAUAUCAAUAAGCGGAGGAAAAGAAACCAACAGGGAUUGCCCUAGUAACGGCGAGUGAAGCGGCAACAGCUCAAAUUUGAAAUCUGGCUCUUUUAGAGUCCGAGUUGUAAUUUGCAGAGGGCGCUUUGGCGUUGGCAGCGGUCCAAGUUCUUUGGAACAGGACGUCACAGAGGGUGAGAAUCCCGUACGUGGUCGCUAGCCUUCGCCGUGUAAAGCCCCUUCGACGAGUCGAGUUGUUUGGGAAUGCAGCUCUAAAUGGGAGGUAAAUUUCUUCUAAAGCUAAAUACUGGCCAGAGACCGAUAGCGCACAAGUAGAGUGAUCGAAAGAUGAAAAGCACUUUGGAAAGAGAGUCAAAUAGCACGUGAAAUUGUUGAAAGGGAAGCGCUUGCAGCCAGACUUGCCUGUAGUUGCUUAUCCGGACUUUUGUCCGGUGCACUCUUCUGCGGGCAGGCCAGCAUCAGUUUAGGCGGUUGGAUAAAGGUCUCUAUCACGUACCUCCCUUCGGGGUUGGCCUUAUAGGGGAGACGACAUGCAACCAGCCUGAACUGAGGUCCGCGCAUCUGCUAGGAUGCUGGCGUAAUGGCUGUAAGCGGCCCGUCUUGAAACACGGACCAAGGAGUCUAACAUCUAUGCGAGUGUUUGGGUGUCAAGCCCAGACGCGUAAUGAAAGUGAACGGAGGUGGGAACCUUUUAGGUGCACCAUCGACCGAUCCUGAUGUCUUCGGAUGGAUUUGAGUAAGAGCAUGGCUGUUGGGACCCGAAAGAUGGUGAACUAUGCUUGAAUAGGGUGAAGCCAGAGGAAACUCUGGUGGAGGCUCGCAGCGGUUCUGACGUGCAAAUCGAUCGUCAAAUUUGGGCAUAGGGGCGAAAGACUAAUCGAACUAUCUAGUAGCUGGUUCCUGCCGA
rnacentral:rRNA from 1 species